rnacentral:rRNA from 1 species
AUUGAACGCUGGCGGCAGGCCUAACACAUGCAAGUCGAGCGGGGUUUUCGGACCUAGCGGCGGACGGGUGAGUAAUGCGUAGGAAGCUACCCGAUAGAGGGGGAUACCAGUUGGAAACGACUGUUAAUACCGCAUAAUGUCUACGGACCAAAGUGUGGGACCUUCGGGCCACAUGCUAUCGGAUGUGCCUACGUGGGAUUAGCUAGUUGGUGAGGUAAUGGCUCACCAAGGCGACGAUCUCUAGCUGGUUUGAGAGGAUGAUCAGCCACACUGGAACUGAGGCACGGUCCAGACUCCUACGGGAGGCAGCAGUGGGGAAUAUUGGACAAUGGGCGCAAGCCUGAUCCAGCCAUGCCGCGUGUGUGAAGAAGGCCUUCAGGUUGUAAAGCACUUUCAGCGAGGAGGAAGGGGUGUGUGUUAAUAGUACACACCUUUGACAUUACUCGCAGAAGAAGCACCGGCUAACUCUGUGCCAGCCGCCGCCGUAAGAC